GGAUGAACGCUGGCGGCGUGCCUAAUACAUGCAAGUCGAGCGAACAGAUAAGGAGCUUGCUCCUUUGACGUUAGCGGCGGACGGGUGAGUAACACGUGGGUAACCUACCUAUAAGACUGGAAUAACUCCGGGAAACCGGGGCUAAUGCAGGAUAACAUGUUGAACCGCAUGGUUCUACAGUGAAAGGCGGCUUUGCUGUCACUUAUAGAUGGACCCGCGCCGUAUUAGCUAGUUGGUGAGGUAACGGCUCACCAAGGCAACGAUACGUAGCCGACCUGAGAGGGUGAUCGGCCGCACUGGAACUGAGACACGGUCCAGACUCCUACGGGAGGCAGCAGUAGGGAAUCUUCCGCAAUGGGCGAAAGCCUGACGGAGCAACGCCGCGUGAGUGAUGAAGGUCUUCGGAUCGUAAAACUCUGUUAUUAGGGAAGAACAAAUGCGUAAGUAACUGUGCGCGUCUUGACGGUACCUAAUCAGAAAGCCACGGCUAACUACGUG
rnacentral:rRNA from 1 species